rnacentral:rRNA from 1 species
UACGUAGGGCGCAAGCGUUGUCCGGAAUUAUUGGGCGUAAAGAGCUCGUAGGCGGUUUGGCGCGUCUGCUGUGAAAACCUAAGGCUCAACCUUGGGCUUGCAGUGGGUACGGGCAGACUAGAGCGCGGUAGGGGUGACUGGAAUUCCUGGUGUAGCGGUGGAAUGCGCAGAUAUCAGGAGGAACACCGAUGGCGAAGGCAGGUCACUGGGCCGCAACUGACGCUGAGGAGCGAAAGCAUGGGGAGCGAACAGG